AAGACAAGACAGUAAUAUUCCACACGCGGAGAAGGCCAAUAAAUUAAUCUCAACUGAACUCGCUUCCCACCCACCCACCGCCACCGUUCUCCGCCACCAUAUUCCCAAAUCUCCCCACCUGGAUCCUCUCGAUUUCAUCCUCCUCUGCCUUGCUUAACUCUAUCUGCUUUGCUCUUCUACUGAUUUCCUCUCUCUCCCCCCAAUUCCCAAUCAUAAAUCUAAUCCACUCCCACUGAAGUAGUUCUCAUCAGUGGCCAUUUUAAAAUUGUGGGGUUGUCGGUGGGUGCCUCUGGGUUUUAUUCUUUGCCCCCUAAACAAAAGACACGCCCUAUAUUUGUAGGAUCCUCAACCGUGAUUCCGGAGAUGGGUAUGUUUUCUGAAACCUACAGUACGAAGCAAGUCCUUCUAUUAUAGAAAGUCUUCAUCUUUCUCCCUCUUCAAUCAUACAAAGUCUCCUUACUUCGUUAGUUUUUUCCAUUUUUAUCUAGACCAAAGCUUCCAUCUUUACUUCAAAUGUAGUCCUACGAAUAAAGGGUACUCUUUGUUUUGGUUAAUUAGUCAGCUGCGGAUUUCGAUUUGGAUGCCAAGUGGCUGAUCGAUCCAAAACAUCUUUUUGUUGGUCCGAGGAUUGGGAAGGCGCAUACCAAAGUGUACGAAGGAAAGGGCUUGAAAGAGUCGGAUGUGGACAGCUAUGUUGAUGACGUCCUUGUGAAUGACAAACCAUGGGCCUCCGUAGUGCAAGAGGCGUUGUAUUUGCAUGUGCACAUGGUAGUCGAGAUAAUAGAUGUGGUGUUUGUGGACCUGUCCUCAUUGAUAAGUUCAAAGAGGAGGCUGAGCUGCGAGGAUUGACGAAUCAGGUAUUUGUUACUGCUUGCUCUCACAUUGGAGGCCACAAAUAUGCUGGAAACUUGAUUAUCUACAGCCCAGGUUCAGAUGGAAGCAUAACAGGCCAUUGGUAUGGCUAUGUCACUUCUGACGAUGUGCCGGAAUUGCUUGAUCAGCAUAUUGGGAAAGGAGAGAUCAUCGAACGACUUUGGAUGUUUGUGCAUUUUUGGUUUUGCUUACCCCCUUCUGAUGAAGAUUUCACUGGAACUGAAGUGUCUGUCAUAUUUUUUGAUUGCCGAUUAUUUCUAGUGUUGUAUGAUAGAUUAUUGAUAUAGAGUUGCAUUAACAUCGAGGAACCAAAUCAAACAACUAGUGUGAGCCAAAUCAAACAACCUUUUUUUAUUGAUAAACAAAACCAGAGGUGGUUUGGGGAACGGGGUAUGGGGUCAAGUAGGCACUUUACAGAGAUGGAGAAAGCGAAGCAGAUCUAGCGAAUUGGAUAUAACGGCAUUACCCUGGGGCAAAUGGGAGUAUCUUCUGAUGAAGCUGAAAAAAAUUAAUGACCCGAAGCUUCCAAAUGGAGGAGAAAGUAAGAAAAUCAAGGAGAAGCCCCAAGAAAACAGCAAUCAGAUUCAGAAGAAUGAGAACUUUUCAGGCUGUUGCAAGGGGCUAAUAGUAAUCGAUUUACAUGCUGCAAAGAAGUAAGUUUGUAGCAGAAUGGUGGAAGUGAGGAAAAGAAGCUGAAAGAAACGAGAGAGUCGUGUGCCAGGAAGGAUGCCUUAGGGAAGCUGCCAAGCUUGAUUGGGAACUGGGAGCAAAGCGAUGUUCUCGCAGCUGCUGCCGUGGUUGGAGCAGUGGCAACAGUGGCCGUGGCCUAUAGCUUUUAUAGAAGGUCAGGCUGAAACAUACUCUAAUCCAUGUUGGGUUCUGCCACGGGUGUAGAGGCCCUAUAUUUUUUUCCCCUUGUAGAAAGAUGUUAUAACGUCAAUUAAAUAAGCUCUUAUAUAAAAGGAGAAUAUGGUAGCUAUACUAAACGUUCAUUUUUGGAGGGUGGGAUGAUUUCCCGAAGCUAAGCCAUAUACAGUUACAAAAAUAUUCACUAUUCCUUUCCGUAGUUGAUUGCUUACACAACUGAUUUGUUGUUCCAAUAUACUGUUGAAUGGUUUUAUCUUGA